CUAGCAGUAAACGGUGCACGUUUGGUGUAGGAGGAUUCGACCCCUCCUGUGCCGGAGCUAACGCGUUAAACGUGCCGCCUGGGAAGUACGGUCGCAAGAUUAAAACUCAAAGAAAUUGACGGGGGCCCGCACAAGCGGUGGAGUAUGUGGCUUAAUUCGAUGCAACGCGAAGAACCUUACCAGGGUUUGACAUGUAUCUCUAAGUCGGUGAAAGCCGGCGAGUGUAGCAAUACACAAUUUACACAGGUGC
rnacentral:rRNA from 1 species